AGAGUUUGAUCAUGGCUCAGAUUGAACGCUGGCGGCAGGCCUAACACAUGCAAGUCGAGCGGAUGAAGGGAGCUUGCUCCUGGAUUCAGCGGCGGACGGGUGAGUAAUGCCUAGGAAUCUGCCUGGUAGUGGGGGAUAACGUCCGGAAACGGGCGCUAAUACCGCAUACGUCCUGAGGGAGAAAGUGGGGGAUCUUCGGACCUCACGCUAUCAGAUGAGCCUAGGUCGGAUUAGCUAGUUGGUGGGGUAAAGGCCUACCAAGGCGACGAUCCGUAACUGGUCUGAGAGGAUGAUCAGUCACACUGGAACUGAGACACGGUCCAGACUCCUACGGGAGGCAGCAGUGGGGAAUAUUGGACAAUGGGCGAAAGCCUGAUCCAGCCAUGCCGCGUGUGUGAAGAAGGUCUUCGGAUUGUAAAGCACUUUAAGUUGGGAGGAAGGGCAGUAAGUUAAUACCUUGCUGUUUUGACGUUACCAACAGAAUAAGCACCGGCUAACUUCGUGCCAGCAGCCGCGGUAAUACGAAGGGUGCAAGCGUUAAUCGGAAUUACUGGGCGUAAAGCGCGCGUAGGUGGUUCAGCAAGUUGGAUGUGAAAUCCCCGGGCUCAACCUGGGAACUGCAUCCAAAACUACUGAGCUAGAGUACGGUAGAGGGUGGUGGAAUUUCCUGUGUAGCGGUGAAAUGCGUAGAUAUAGGAAGGAACACCAGUGGCGAAGGCGACCACCUGGACUGAUACUGACACUGAGGUGCGAAAGCGUGGGGAGCAAGCAGGAUUAGAUACCCUGGUAGUCCACGCCGUAAACGAUGUCGACUAGCCGUUGGGAUCCUUGAGAUCUUAGUGGCGCAGCUAACGCGAUAAGUCGACCGCCUGGGGAGUACGGCCGCAAGGUUAAAACUCAAAUGAAUUGACGGGGGCCCGCACAAGCGGUGGAGCAUGUGGUUUAAUUCGAAGCAACGCGAAGAACCUUACCUGGCCUUGACAUGCUGAGAACUUUCCAGAGAUGGAUUGGUGCCUUCGGGAACUCAGACACAGGUGCUGCAUGGCUGUCGUCAGCUCGUGUCGUGAGAUGUUGGGUUAAGUCCCGUAACGAGCGCAACCCUUGUCCUUAGUUACCAGCACCUCGGGUGGGCACUCUAAGGAGACUGCCGGUGACAAACCGGAGGAAGGUGGGGAUGACGUCAAGUCAUCAUGGCCCCUUACGGCCAGGGCUACACACGUGCUACAAUGGUCGGUACAAAGGGUUGCCAAGCCGCGAGGUGGAGCUAAUCCCAUAAAACCGAUCGUAGUCCGGAUCGCAGUCUGCAACUCGACUGCGUGAAGUCGGAAUCGCUAGUAAUCGUGAAUCAGAAUGUCACGGUGAAUACGUUCCCGGGCCUUGUACACACCGCCGUCACACCAUGGGAGUGGGUUGCUCCAGAAGUAGCUAGUCUAACCGCAAGGGGGACGGUUACCACGGAGUGAUUCAUGACUGGGGUGAAGUCGUAACAAGGUAGCCGUAGGGGAACCUGCGGCUG
rnacentral:rRNA from 1 species